UACGGGGGGGGCAAGCGUUGUUCGGAAUUACUGGGCGUAAAGGGCUCGUAGGCGGCCAACUAAGUCAGACGUGAAAUCCCUCGGCUCAACCGGGGAACUGCGUCUGAUACUGGAUGGCUUGAAUCCGGGAGAGGGAUGCGGAAUUCCAGGUGUAGCGGUGAAAUGCGUAGAUAUCUGGAGGAACACCGGUGGCGAAGGCGGCAUCCUGGACCGGUAUUGACGCUGAGGAGCGAAAAGCCAGGGGAGCAAACGGG
rnacentral:rRNA from 1 species